rnacentral:rRNA from 1 species
UCUGCCCGGUAGUGGGGGAUAACCUGGGGAAACCCAGGCUAAUACCGCAUACGUCCUACGGGAGAAAGCGGGGGMUCUUCGGACCUCGCGCUAUCGGAUGAGCCUAUGUCGGAUUAGCUGGUUGGUGAGGUAACGGCUCACCAAGGCGACGAUCCGUAGCUGGUCUGAGAGGAUGAUCAGCCACACUGGGACUGAGACACGGCCCAGACUCCUACGGGAGGCAGCAGUGGGGAAUAUUGGACAAUGGGCGCAAGCCUGAUCCAGCCAUGCCGCGUGUGUGAAGAAGGCUUUCGGGUUGUAAAGCACUUUCAGUGGGGAAGAAGGCCUUGGGGUUAAUAACCCCGAGGAAGGACAUCACCCACAGAAGAAGCACCGGCUAACUCCGUGCCAGCAGCCGCGGUAAUACGGAGGGUGCGAGCGUUAAUCGGAAUUACUGGGCGUAAAGCGCGCGUAGGUGGCUUGAUAAGCCGGUUGUGAAAGCCCCGGGCUCAACCUGGGAACGGCAUCCGGAACUGUCAGGCUAGAGUGCAGGAGAGGAAGGUAGAAUUCCCGGUGUAGCGGUGAAAUGCGUAGAGAUCGGGGAGGAAUACCAGUGGGCGUAAGGCGGSCUUUCUGGGACUGGACACUGGACACUGAGGUGCGAARGCGUGGGUGAGCAAACAGGGAUUAGAUACCCUGGGUAGG